GACGAACGCUGGCGGCGUGCUUAACACAUGCAAGUCGAACGGAAAGGCCUCUUUCGGGGGGUACUCGAGUGGCGAACGGGUGAGUAGCACGUGAGUAACCUGCCCUUGACUUUGGGAUAACUUCAGGAAACUGGGGCUAAUACCGGAUAGGAGCUCCUGCUGCAUGGUGGGGGUUGGAAAGUUUCGGCGGUUGGGGAUGGACUCGCGGCUUAUCAGCUUGUUGGUGGGGUAGUGGCUUACCAAGGCUUUGACGGGUAGCCGGCCUGAGAGGGUGACCGGCCACAUUGGGACUGAGAUACGGCCCAGACUCCUACGGGAGGCAGCAGGGGGGAAUAUUGCACAAUGGGUGGAAGCCUGAUGCAGCAACGCCGUGGGCGGGAUGACGGCCUUCGGGUUGUAAACCGCUUUCGCUCAUGACGAAGCUUUGUGUGACGGUAGUGGGUAAAGAAGCACCGGCUAACUACGUG
rnacentral:rRNA from 1 species